rnacentral:rRNA from 1 species
CAGUCGCCGCGGGAACACAGAGGGUGCAAGCGUUAAUCGGAAUUACUGGGCGUAAAGCGCGCGUAGGUGGUUCGCCAAGUUGGAUGUGAAAUCCCCGGGCUCAACCUGGGAACUGCAUCCAAAACUGGCGAGCUAGAGUAUGGUAGAGGGUGGUGGAAUUUCCUGUGUAGCGGUGAAAUGCGUAGAUAUAGGAAGGAACAUCAGUGGCGAAGGCGACCACCUGGACUGAUACUGACACUGAGGUGCGAAAGCGUGGGGAGCAAACAGGAUUAGAUACCCCCGUAGUCCCUGUCUCUUAUAC